GUGCUUUCGCUUUGUUUCGGUUGUUCGGUUUCAACCCAACAAACUGGUACCAGAGCUUGGUUAUUGUGUCAGGUAAUUAUGGAAAUUAAUACGAGCAAGAUGAUUAUGUUGAAUGGCACAAAUUAUCAACUUUGGCGGAAUAAAAUGAAGGACUUGUUGUUUGUGAAGGCUUUGCAUCUUCCGGUCUUUACUACUCAAAAACCCG
rnacentral:lncRNA from 1 species